rnacentral:tRNA from 1 species
GGGGGUAGCUCGGUGGUAGAGCGUGUGCUUGACAUGCACGAGGUCCUGGGUUCAAUCUCUAGAACUUCCA